UUAAAGGGUGCCCAGCUGUAAGCAAGUCAGUGGUGAAUCCCUGGCCUAACUCAGGAGUGCCAUGAAACUGUUGUACUAGAGUGUAGUAGAGGACGCCGGAAUGAGUUGUGUAGCGCUGAAAUGCAUAGAUAUAACUCAGAACACCGAUUGCGUAGGCAGCUGUUUAUACUACAACUGACGCUGAGGCACGAAAGCGUGGGGAGCGAACAGGAUUAGAUACCCUGGUAGUCCACGCUGUAAACGAUGAUCACUCGUUGUUGGCUACUUAGUAGUCAGUGACCAAGGGAAACCGAUAAGUGAUCCACCUGGGGAGUACGUCGGCAACGAUGAAACUCAAAGGAAUUGACGGGGGCCCGCACAAGCGGAGGAACAUGUGGUUUAAUUCGAUGAUACGCGAGGAACCUUACCUGGGCUUAAAUGCUGGCUGCAUUGGAGGGAAACCUUCAUUUCCUACGGGACCGCCAGCAAGGUGCUGCAUGGUUGUCGUCAGCUCGUGCCGUGAGGUGUCGGGUUAAGUCCCAUAACGAGCGCAACCCCUAUCGCUAGUUGCCAGCAUGUAAUGGUGGGGACUCUAGCGAGACUGCCGGUGUAAACCGGAGGAAGGUGCGCAUGACGUCAAAUCAGCACGGCCCUUACGUCCAGGGCUACACACGUGUUACAAUGGCCGGUACAAAGAGCAGCCACCUGGCGACAGGGCGCUAAUCUCUAAAACCGGUCUCAGUUCGGAUCGAAGUCUGCAAUUCGACUUCGUGAAGGUGGAUUCGCUAGUAAUCGCGCAUCAGCCAUGGCGCGCUGACUCAGUUCCCGGGCAUUGNCACACCGCCCGUCAAGCCAUGGAAGUCGGGGGUACCUGAAGUCCGUAACCGAUCAG
rnacentral:rRNA from 1 species